rnacentral:tRNA from 1 species
GCAGAGGUAUCGAAGAGGUCAUAACGGGGCUGACUCGAAAUCAGUUUGGCUGAAAGGCCACGUGGGUUCGAAUCCCACCCUCUGCGCCA